rnacentral:rRNA from 1 species
GUGUCAGCCGCCGCGGUAAAACGUAGGAGCCAAGCGUUAUCCGAAUUCACUGGGCGUAAAGCGCGUGCAGGCGGCUGCGCAAGUUGGGUGUGAAAUCUCCCGGCUCAACUGGGAGAGGCCGCUCAAGACUGCGUGGCUCGAGGCUGGUAGAGGGAGGUGGAAUUCCCGGUGUAGUGGUGAAAUGCGUAGAUAUCGGGAGGAACACCAGUGGCGAAAGCGGCCUCCUGGACCAGUCCUGACGCUAAGAUGCGAAAGCUAGGGGAGCAAACGGGAUUAGAAACCCCCGUAGUCC